AGUGUUUUACGUCAAGCUAGAUCUAGAUAUUUUGUUCAUUAUAUUGUGAAGGACAAUGUCAAGUGUUGUCGCAGUGCUGAUGGUUCUUAUUUUGAUGAUCACCGCGGUCGUGGACCAGCAGCGAGCAGUGGCAGCUACUCCAGUGGAAGAAUCUCGUCAAGGAUGGGUCCGUUAUUCGGUGACUCCAAAGAACUCUACUACAACACCGUCAGUCUAUAAUGCGGAUAGCUCGUGUGCGGGUCGCGACCCAAAACAUUGCCCUCCCCCACCCGCGUUAUAGCUGGUUGUAGUUCUUUUGCUAUGCAUGAUAUCCUAAAUAAAACAUCUUCCAAGAUUUUCAAUACUAUGUGCUCUUCUACUUCAACUUUUCCAUCGA
rnacentral:lncRNA from 1 species